GCAGAAGAGCAGGGGGGAAGCUCCUCCAUCUCCCCCAACACCACCUCCCCCCUCCACGUUCCUGAGGGCUCUGGCCUGCCUCAGGUGGGGAGGCCAGGGCUGCCGCUGUCUCCCGGGACUGCCCCACCCUUCAGCUGGCAGCAGGAGUGGGGUGGAAUUGGACAGGCUGGCCUUGGCCUGUUAGCAUUCUUGCUCCUGACGGCGAGGCUGGCUCCCUCCUGGUCUUCAGGGAAUGUUCUAGAAAAGGACAGGGUGCCCCCAAUCCCUGCAGAGCCGCUGUGUCAGGGUGGAAACAGAAGUGAGGAGGGAGCCCUGGAGUGGGCACGGUCAGGCCACUUCCUCCUGGCAACCCGAUGUCCUUUCCCUCUCCCCCCUCCGCCCCCGCGGGACCCCCCAAGCACGGGCGCUGGGUCCUUGCUGCGCCCGCACGCCCUCACCGGCCCUCUAGGGGCUCAGCCUCUCCCACGGGCCCUGGCAGUGGGCAGGGGCACCACACCAUUCCCCGCCCACCCGUGCCAGCCCUUCUGCACUCUCGGGGGGGCCCCUCUCCUCCCUUGGGCGCUCUUCGGCCUCACUGUGACCUUUCUGCCAGAGCUCCCAGCCAGGCCUCCUCUCGCUGAGAUGGCACUCCCUCCCACCCCCCACACGCUGAGCCGCCACAAAGACCAAAGAAGUGAUGGCUUUUCUCUGUCCCCUGCUGCUCUGGGGGGAGGGGGUGGGUCUCCUGAGCCCUGGGAUGGAAAGUCCCUAACUCGGCCCCCUCCUCAGCAGCCAGAGCUCUACACUGGAUGCAGCGGUUCCCCCAGCACCCCACCACUCCCCCGAGGCCUCGCUCUUGGCCCCCUUGGCUCUCAGCUCCCCUCGGCGCUCCCUGGGCUCCAGCUUCCAGCUGCAGCCUCCCUCCACCCUGCUCCCUCCCUCCGCCCUGUCUCUGCCAGGUGCCUCCUCUCAGUCAGGCUUCAGAGAAGCCCUGGAGACAGCAGGGCCAUGUUAAAAGCUUUUUCACAGUUUUAA
rnacentral:lncRNA from 1 species